rnacentral:sRNA from 1 species
GCCAGGUGCAGCAGAGUAGGCCUGUAAUCCCAGCUACCUUGGAGACUGAGGCAGGAGGAUUGCAAGUUCCAGGCCAGCCUCAGCAACAUAGCAAGACUCUGUCUCCA